AUUGAACGCUGGCGGCAGGCCUAACACAUGCAAGUCGAACGGUAACAGGAAGAAGCUUGCUUCUUUGCUGACGAGUGGCGGACGGGUGAGUAAUGUCUGGGAAACUGCCUGAUGGAGGGGGAUAACUACUGGAAACGGUAGCUAAUACCGCAUAACGUCGCAAGACCAAAGAGGGGGACCUUCGGGCCUCUUGCCAUCGGAUGUGCCCAGAUGGGAUUAGCUAGUAGGUGGGGUAACGGCUCACCUAGGCGACGAUCCCUAGCUGGUCUGAGAGGACGACCAGCCACACUGGAACUGAGACACGGUCCAGACUCCUACGGGAGGCAGCAGUGGGGAAUAUUGCACAAUGGGCGCAAGCCUGAUGCAGCCAUGCCGCGUGUAUGAAGAAGGCCUUCGGGUUGUAAAGUACUUUCAGCGGGGAGGAAGGGAGUAAAGUUAAUACCUUUGCUCAUUGACGUUACCCGCAGAAGAAGCACCGGCUAACUCCGUG
rnacentral:rRNA from 1 species